ACGAACGCUGGCGGCGUGGAUAAGACAUGCAAGUCGAACGAGAGAAUUGCUAGCUUGCUAAUAAUUCUCUAGUGGCGCACGGGUGAGUAACACGUGAGUAACCUGCCCCCGAGAGCGGGAUAGCCCUGGGAAACUGGGAUUAAUACCGCAUAGUAUCGAAAGAUUAAAGCAGCAAUGCGCUUGGGGAUGGGCUCGCGGCCUAUUAGUUAGUUGGUGAGGUAACGGCUCACCAAGGCGAUGACGGGUAGCCGGUCUGAGAGGAUGUCCGGCCACACUGGAACUGAGACACGGUCCAGACACCUACGGGUGGCAGCAGUCGAGAAUCAUUCACAAUGGGGGAAACCCUGAUGGUGUGACGCCGCGUGGGGGAAUGAAGGUCUUCGGAUUGUAAACCCCUGUCAUGUGGGAGCAAAUUAAAAAGAUAGUACCACAAGAGGAAGAGACGGCUAACUCUGUGCCAGCAGCCGCGGUAAUACAGAGGUCUCAAGCGUUGUUCGGAAUCACUGGGCGUAAAGCGUGCGUAGGCUGUUUCGUAAGUCGUGUGUGAAAGGCGCGGGCUCAACCCGCGGACGGCACAUGAUACUGCGAGACUAGAGUAAUGGAGGGGGAACCGGAAUUCUCGGUGUAGCAGUGAAAUGCGUAGAUAUCGAGAGGAACACUCGUGGCGAAGGCGGGUUCCUGGACAUUAACUGACGCUGAGGCACGAAGGCCAGGGGAGCGAAAGGGAUUAGAUACCCCUGUAGUCCUGGCAGUAAACGGUGCACGCUUGGUGUGCGGGGAAUCGACCCCCUGCGUGCCGGGGCUAACGCGUUAAGCGUGCCGCCUGGGGAGUACGGUCGCAAGAUUAAAACUCAAAGAAAUUGACGGGGACCCGCACAAGCGGUGGAGUAUGUGGCUUAAUUCGAUGCAACGCGAAGAACCUUACCUGGGCUUGACAUGUAAUGAACAACAUGUGAAAGCAUGCGACUCUUCGGAGGCGUUACACAGGUGCUGCAUGGCCGUCGUCAGCUCGUGUCGUGAGAUGUUUGGUUAAGUCCAGCAACGAGCGCAACCCCUGUUGCCAGUUACCAGCACGUGAAGGUGGGGACUCUGGCGAGACUGCCCAGAUCAACUGGGAGGAAGGUGGGGACGACGUCAGGUCAGUAUGGCCCUUAUGCCCAGGGCUGCACACGUACUACAAUGCCCAGUACAGAGGGGGCCGAAGCCGCGAGGCGGAGGAAAUCCUGAAAACUGGGCCCAGUUCGGACUGUAGGCUGCAACCCGCCUACACGAAGCCGGAAUCGCUAGUAAUGGCGCAUCAGCUACGGCGCCGUGAAUACGUUCCCGGGUCUUGUACACACCGCCCGUCACAUCAUGGAAGCCGGUCGCACCCGAAGUAUCUGAAGCCAACCGCAAGGAGGCAGGGUCCUAAGGUGAGACUGGUAACUGGGAUG
rnacentral:rRNA from 1 species